ensembl:lncRNA
AAAUCUCUCAGUCAAGCAAUACUGUCUUUUGGAUUUCUGUUUAUCCCUUUAUGUUUAAAUAUUAUCCUAAUAUAAAUAUCACAAAUAUUUACUUUUUUUUAUUAUUAUUAUUCUUUAUCUACAUUUCAGAGUACCUAGUAGUAAGAUAUUACUCAAGAAAUACUAUGCACAAUUAUGUUUUGGAAUGUUUUCUUUAAUUCUUAAAACACUGAACAGAGUUAGGAAGCACAAAGAGAUGCAUUUUGGUCCUUGAAACCAGAGGCAUUUAAGUCAUUGAAUAUACAAAGAAAUAAAGUCUAAUGAAGUUUCUAAUUAAAUGGUGAUCAAAUUAAAUUACAGCUAAUGGGCCACAUUUUGCAUUUGUGUAAAACCAGAUUCCAUUUGCUUAAGCAAGUAACAAAACAUCUACCUUGCUUUUAUGAGUUUGGCUUUAAUUCAUUGAAAUAAACCAUUCUCUUGACAUAAUUAUUUUGUAAAGCAAGAAAAUUGAAUAUAGUUGUGGUAAAUGUUUGUUGUUCUGCUAUGUACCCCCAAAAUGAAUUACAUCUAUUUCCAAUCUGCUGAAAAAUCAACUGAAUAUUUAUGUAGCAUAGCACUGUAAAAUUGACCUUGGAACUGUUGUGUCCCAAUAACAUGUAGAAGUUCAGUUUACAUCCACAUAUACAGGUGUGGCCUUUGAGUAUGAUAGACCAUAUGAAGUCACAAUGUAUUUUAUUUAAUGCUGUGGGUUUGGUUACUGAAACCUUGAAAUGGGUUUGAUAAAUUUUAGGGUUUUUUGUUUGUUUGUCUGUUUGUUUUCAUUUGUUGUGGGGAUUUUGUGUUGUUUUCUGCUGUUGUUUAUUUUCCCAUGGAACAUGUGACCACAUUUGCAGCCUCAUAUUUAAAAUAUGUAUAGUUUUUUUAAGACAAGUGUAGAUCAUAUCAAACUAAAUGAAGGUGAAGUUUUUGUUUUGUUUUCUUUUUAUUGCUUUUUGUUGCUUUUUAUGUUUGUUUUUGUUUUUCUGUUUGUACACAUGAUUAACCAUUGUAUAUCAUGACAGGCUUCUCGGCAGCCUUCCAAAAAUACAUCCUGACUGGGGCAAGAGUUGAAAUAAUAAAUGUCUAGUUUAAUAUGUAAUAUAAUAACAAAAUUUUAUUUUCACGAUUUCAACAAUAUAGCUGAUUCUGUGAGCAUCAGAUUAUUAAUACAUUCUGUUAUUUUCAUACAUAUUAUGUGACAAAAAGGUUUAUUUUCCUAUUUGGGAAAUGGGACAACUAUUGAUGUCAUAGACAUGAUAUUAGCUUUAUUUAAAAAAAUGCAUUUAAAUAAAAGUAAUAACUAAGAUUAAUUCUUAAAGUAAUUCUUGAAACAUGAAAAUCUAGUACGUUUCCUAAUAAAAAGGAAAACAGUUUAAUUACCAAGUAGAUUAAUAUCUUCUUUUACCAUCUACAUUCUAAAAACAAACAAACAAGGCAAAACAAACAAACAAACAGAAACAACAACACAAGAAAUACAUAUUUGUGUUUGUAUUUAUAUAUAUGGAAGUGUAUGUCUACGUAUAUAUACCUGUAUUUGUAUGCAUAUACUUCUACUUGUCUUUAUUUAUUUAUUAUUAUUAUUAUUUUAUCUAUUCUUAAAUAAUCAAUGUCUUUACUGUGAUGUGAGAAUAUUUCCAUUUGUGUUUUGAAAACUUUUACACCUGUAAUGAAGUACUGGAUAGAAUGCCAUAUUCACAGAAUCACAAAAGUGUCACUUCAGUCAUAAAAGACAUAGAAUUGUCUAGUAUAGAAAUAUAAAUGCUGAUUUGGAGUUGCUAGGAACAAAUGAUCAGGCCCAAAUCAAGUUUGCAACAGUUGAAUAUAGAUUAAGGAAUAUUAACAUUCUUACAUCUUAAAACUCUGCUUUUUACAUUUGAAGUACUGUCACAUAAGAAGUACCUUGAAUUCAACUUUGCUAUAAUUUCACUGCAAUAAUGGUAAUUAAUAGCAAUCAAGUACAUAAAUAAACACAUAUCAAAUAUAUCUGUGAAAAUUAAAACAGUCCUUACAAAUCUCUUGAUACCAGAUACAUAUCUUCAGUUGUAAAAUAAUAAAUACAGUACCACAUUUAAUAAUGCAAAAUUAUUGCAUGGCAGUUUUGUUCUCUUUGCAAAUAAUCUUAAGUGAAAUUUUCACUUUUUUAGUCACAACUGUAGUAAAACUGUUAUUCCAGUUGCUUUUUACUAAAAUUAAAAGCAGGACUAUUCAAAAUACUGAUAUUCUUCAGCUGUGGUACAGUUUUCUCAUUGCAAAAUUUAAUUCAAAAUUUAUAAAUCAUUUAAAUGCAUUUUUUUUUCAGGUUGGCAAAUUCUUUAGUUGAAUCAACAGUAAAAUUACAUUUAUGUUAAAUUUUCCUGUAACAUAAUUUUAAAGUUUUUUUUGUUGUUGUUGUUGGCUUUGUUUUGGUUUGGUUUGGUUUUUGUUUUUUUUUAAAUUCAGAUAUAGAACUACUAUUAGUGAUAUAAGUGGUUACGUGAGCUUUUGUCUGGUUAUAUAAAGUGCUGCACAUUCAUUUGUAUUUUAUCAGAUAAUACAAAGCAGAAUCUGAUGUAUGAUUUAUGAUAUGACUCAAACUAAACUAAAAUUUCAAUAAUAUGUACUUUUUUCUAGUUUCAAAUUUAUAAGAAAUGCCUAUAUUAACAUCAAAUAACUUGAACCACAUGCUUCCAAAGAAUGAAUAUUCUGCUGAAUCUUUUCUUCCCAAAUAUAAAUAUCUUGCUUAGCUGUGAUGAAAAUUGCAUCAAAGGAAAAAGUGACUAUUCAGUGCAUUUGAUGCAUCUGAAGUAAAAGAAAAUUCUCACACUGAUUUAUUUAUUUAUUUAUUUUUAAAGACGGAAUAUCUUUAUUGUUUGACUUAAGCUUUUAUGCCUUGCUGCAGUAUUAGAAACCUUAUUAUUUUACACUGCGCAGGGAAUAUAUGUUUCAAAUCUCGUGGUUAAAUCAUUUCAAUGAGUUAUUACAUUUUGAUGAGUUAUAACUUUGAGUGGUUUUAAGGGCUGUUUUCUUUGGUGAUUGAAUUUGGUGAUGUCUGGUCUUUUUGAGGGUGGAUAUUUUUAGUUUAUCUUCAUACAAAUAUUGUGUGCAAUGCAGUCAGUUCUUGUGGAAAUAUUUUGAAAAUACUCUGUGUUGAUAACUUCAUACAGUUUAUAGUAUUAAUGUUUUAAAAACAUCCUAGUUAUAUAAACUGGAUUUUUGUGCAUUUUCAAUUUUACUUUUUGGUUUUUUGCCUUACACUUUUUUUUUUUUUCCCCCAACAUAUUAUGUGGAAUCAAACAGCUCACCUUUACUUUGUAGUUUAUUUUUUAUUUUAUUUUGUGCACAGAGCACAGUUGUCUGCAGAAGGAUCCGGCCUGUUGUUCUUAAUGUGCAUAUUUUAUCUGAAAGAAAAAAUAUUACAGUCUUGAGAUAGAUACUGAUUUUCUAAGAAUAUUCUCAUGGUUUCCCCUCCCUGCAUCACAAUUUUUUCACUGGGAGACAGUGAAGAGGCAUAAGUGUUUGCCUAUUUAACUCCAAUAGCUGGAGUAAGACAUUUGGCAAAAUCUUUAUCAGUGUGACUGGAAAUUAUGUUUUAGGUAGGAAUUUUUCUUAUUCUUUUUAAAAAAUUCGGUUUGUAGCAUCAUUGCUGUAACCCUGUAAUGUGCACACUGACACACACAAACAUAUAGGUUGAUGUUUCAUGUUUAGGACACCAGUGAAGAAUGAAGAUUUUCUUUUUUUAAAAUGUCUCAAGAAGAGGGACUAUCUUUUAAGCAGGCAAUGCUUAUAUAAUGAAGCUUUUCAGCACAACAAUUUAAGUGGUGAAAUGAAUGCCUCACUGACAAAUUCUGGUCAGGCCUGAAAUGAUUAUUUUGCCUUUUUGGCAACACAGGUGGGAGCUAACAAAAAUAAGUAUCAAGCUAAAAUAAUAUUACAUUGAAGAUAAUAUCUAUUGGUUCAAUAUAUUAAUUUUAAUGUCUACUAAUUCACACUGUACUAACUUUUAUGUCAGAUCUUUCUGACCUUUAUUUUUUUCAUGAAGACUAAGUUACUAGUCUGUUGAGAAAACUUGUUUCUAUGCAUAUGAAAGGUAAUGAAGAUAAUUAUAAAUACAGCAAUUUCUAGAAAAAUCACUGUAUUUGUAAUGGUUAAUAUUUUUUCACCCAUACAUGAUUUUGAGUACUAUGUCCCAUGAUUUUCAAUAAGUUUUUUAUAGUGAAUACUCUACUUAACUGAAUAUGUAUUACAAAUUCUAUAAUUACAGGUAGUUUUUUGUUGGAUUUGAUUAGAAUCAGAGGCUUAAUCAUGGAGGACAAAAAGGUGUCUUCUCAUAAUUUUGUCUUCUAUUUAUCAAGUAUCCAAAUGAAUUAGUAUUGCUUUUUGUUGUUGUUGUUUUAUUUUUUAUUAUGACACACAUAUUUUAGCUUUACUUCAUUUGCUAUUUGAAUGCUUGAGAAUUAGUUACUACUCCAACUAAUCAUCCACAGUUAAAAUUUGAUCAACUUUAUAUAAAUUCAAGAUACUAUUAAAUAGUGAAAUUACAUUUCUCCUAUGCUUCCCUUAUGCUUAGUUAUCCUUACCUCCUGCUCUGUGUGUUAAUGUAAGCCCUGACAAAUAAUCAUUCAGUCAUUAAACCUUGAUGCCACUUUAUAACCCUAACAGAAAGAUAGUGUAACACAAUAAUGAGAAGAAAAAAUCAAACUUAUAUUUUUAUUCUCUGACUACUUCCACAUGGGAAUAAUGCAAUUAUUGUGAGCAAUCUCAUCACAUUUAGUUGGAAUUUUUGUGUUAUAUAGUUUAAUGUCUGGAGAAAACAGAUGCAAAUACAUAUGCUGCU